rnacentral:snRNA from 1 species
UCAGUCAGUGAAUAACGAAAGUA